AUGGUUACCGUCUGGAAUUUCAAGACAAUUUAUCUCCUCACUGUUGCUUUUAUAUGGAAAUCUGUCAAUGCAAACUGCCUGCACAGACCCCAGGGAGCAAACUUCUCUUUCCAGCCAGUCUGUAUGUCUUCCAAGCCAUGGAAUGAACAGUUUUUUGCCCUGGACAGUACAGUCAACAUACCAUGUUACAACGAACCAAGGAAACAGAUUAUUUACAACAUCUGGAAUCUGAAAAUGAAAGCAAAUAACUGCUGCAUUGCUUGGCAUUUCAAUGAAAGUCAGAUUGACACCUGCAAAGAUGGAAAAGUGUUGAGAAAUGGAACAAGUGGACAACCCUUUUUGUACAUUCCUCGCUUUACACGUGAAGAUGAGGGAAUCUAUUUUUGUGAGACUGCAUACUUGGGAGGGUGUCACACAGCUAAAAUCCAAGUAUCUGCAAAGAUCCGUCCAGAGAUCUCUGGGAAGUUGGUGCUACAUCAUGACAGGAAAGUGGCUGUGUGCUCGGCUGCUGGAGGUAAACCUGCAGCCACUAUCUCCUGGAGCACCAUAGAAAAUGUGAGCGACCACCACACCGCCACACCAAACCUCGAUGGCACCUUUACUGUAGAGAGACGCUUGGUCCUAUCCAACAACGUUUCCCACAGCAACUUGACAUGCAUCGUCACUCACCCUAGCUUGGGAGAGGCACACAUGGAGAAGAUCCUACCUUCAGGUUGGAAUGAAGGACCUUGUUAUUGUAGUGUAUUAACAUUUUUUGUGCCCAUGAUGUGACUGCAUUGUUAAUUUGAUUGCUGAAGUUAGAAGGCAUUGAAAUUAUUGAAUAACUACCAAGACUAGAGUAAUGGUUGUGAAACAAGACAUGUGGACAAAGGUCACAAGUCCCAGUAAGGAGCUUAGUGUUGUGUCUUUGAGAAGGGUGUUUAACAUCAAAAGUUUCAAUGGAAUACAUAGUUGAACAUAAGAGGAGAAUGGCAAACUACAAAGUUAACUUUAAAAUCGAAAGAUAUAUGUAUGAAUAAGUGUAUGAAAAGGUAUACAUAUUCUUCCAGAAGAUGCAGUUCCAUGGAAAUGGAUUGGAGUCUCCCUGGCUUCCACGGGCCUUAUAGCUUUUAUGCUUACUGGAUUUUUUCUGGCACGGAAACACUUCAGCAAUUUUAGGUAGGAGAUUAUAUUGUUAUAUCUAGGCUUUCAAAUUUAUUGUAUACUUCAAAAGUCAUAUUGUACAGAGGCAUCAAAAAAAAAACUUUUCCAAGAAAAAGAAGGCAGAGAAAAGAUGAACGACUGUCAUUUAAUGUUAUCUGUCACUAUCUUGUCCAGUACUUUACUCCAGCGCUGCUGCAAGUUCCAUAAUCAACUGCCGGCAGAGUCACAGAAGAAACAGGUACAAUAUACAUAUGGUGUAUGCUACUCAUAAUAUGGGUUCUACGUGCAGUCUAAUGUUUUCGGACAGCUGAUGGCAUAAUGGUAGGAACUGUCUUUGGAAGCAAAGGUCGCAUGUUCAACUCUCACCUCCAGCUGUAGCACCAGCAAAAUACUUACCCUGAAUUGCUCCAGUAAAAUUACCCAGCUGUAUGGUUGUAAGUUGCUUUGUAGAAAAGCAUCAGCUAAAUUAAUAAAUAUACAAUUGGCACCUUGUACA
ensembl:lncRNA